rnacentral:rRNA from 1 species
CCGACGGUGAGAGGUGAAAGCUGGGGGCACGAACCGGAUUAGAUACCCGGGUAGUCCCAGCCGUAAACGAUGCUCGCUAGGUGUCUGGGAUGGUGCGACCGUUUCAGGUGCCGCAGGGAAGCCGUGAAGCGAGUCACCUGGGAAGUACGGCCGCAAGGCUGAAACUUAAAGGAAUUGGCGGGGGAGCACUACAACGGGUGGAGCCUGCGGUUUAAUUGGACUCAACGCCGGAAAACUCACCUGGGGC